rnacentral:rRNA from 1 species
CCUACGGGUGGCUGCAGUGGGGAAUAUUGCACAAUGGGGGAAACCCUGAUGCAGCGACGCCGCGUGAGUGAAGAAGUAUUUCGGUACGUAAAGCUCUAUCAGCAGGGAAGAAGAAAGACGGUACCUGCCUAAGAAGCCCCGGCUACCUACGUGCCAGCAGCAGCGGUAAUCCGUAGGGGGCAAGCGUUAUCCGGUUUUACGGGGUGUAAAGGGUGCGUAGACGGCUGUGCAAGUCUGCAGUGAAAGCCCUGGGCUCAACCCUGGGACUGCUUUGGAAACUGUGGAGCUAGAGUGCUGGAGAGGUAAGUGGAAUUCCUAGUGUAGCGGUGAAAUGCGUAGAUAUUAGGAGGAACACCAGUGGCGAAGGCGGCUUACUGGACAGUAACUGACGUUGAGGCUCGAAAGCGUGGGGAGCAAACAGGAUUAGAUACCCGAGUAGUC